CAAGUGAUUUCGACUCACUAAAUUGUGCACUAGCAUAAUUAUCAA
rnacentral:tRNA from 1 species